ACGACAUGAAGAUCGACUCGGGCCAGUUCAACCCAGAUGCCCUCUGGAAGCGCAGCCUGGCUGGGAAGCUCCAGAUGGCGCAUGUCGACCACUUGGGCAAGCUGACGACCGAGUUCGAGCCAGAGCCGGACAAAAAGACAGGUUCUAACCUCACCAAAGCAUUCAGAAAGCUAGUCAACUGGGAAGCAGACAAG